CUUCUUUUUUCCUUUCGUCAAAUCACCUCUUCCCUGCCAUUUCUGCAUCUCCCUGCAUCCCUUCCCAUAUAAAAGGAUCCCCUUUUUUGUUUACAUUUUUUCAUCUUUCAAAUUCCCCAAAUUGAAAUUCUCUAAUCAGUUCAGUGUUAUGAAAAGAAGCAAGGAGGUCAGCUGGAAUGGGGAAAAAGAAAGAGAAGAGGAAGAUCAGAGCAAAACAAGAAGAAGAAGAAGAAGGAAAUGCAGCCAACGGUUUAGAGUUGAAGUUCAGCCACAACAAUUUGGUAUUAGAGCAGUAGGUGAGCUGGGAAGAGAAUGGGAACUCAUGGCAAAAAUCAAGUAGAACAAUUUAAAAGGUUUGAAAAGUAACUUGGAUUUCUUAAUGUGACUGUAAAUACAUAGGAUCAAAUGUUGAAAGGGGUCUGUGCUAAGCAAGACAGGAUGGAGCAAUUGAUGGGAGAAAUGAACAGAACAAAUAAAGUGAUGAUUUCAAUGUUGACCAAAAUGACUGGGGCUAAAUUAGUCUCCAAAGAUCAGUUCAAUCAUUACAAAUGUUCUGUUGCGGACAGAGAUGAAGCGGUGUAUAUGGAAAUUCCAAUGGUGAAAGGUAAAAUGGAAAAUGGAGGUGAAAUGGCUGUUUUUGAUAUUGAGGAUUUAGAACGGUAAAAAUGGUUCACGAGGGCAGGUUCAUGUAUUAGAUGGUGAUAUGGAAGUUGUCGAAACCUAGUCAGUGGAGGCUGUGUACGAUGAGUAUGCUGAAGAUAAAUUACUGGUUAAUGAAUAUAGCUUACUUAUGGAAACCCAAGUAGUACUGGAGAAUGAUAUAAAUUUGGAUAUUGAUGUGCCUGUUUCUGGUGGUAAUUUAAGUUAAUAUGCCCAAUUUCUGCCAAAGUGCAUGGGGACUGAUGCAGUAGGGAGGAGGGCUUUGGUAAAAGUAUAUAUGAUGUGAUCCAAGAGCCGAGCUCAACAAAGACGAUCCUAGGAUAAGAUCCAUUGAUUAUCAAAGGUGGACCGAUGACAUGAUUGAGGGCAAAGUGAGUCAAUCAAGCUAUGAGGUUACUAGUUCAAUCAACAAUUGAUGAGGCGAUGAUUGUGGCACAAAAUGAGGCAACUUUCAUGUUGCGGUCAAGAGCCGAAGUCCAUUGGAUCAAUACAUUACAAGCAGACGAAGGAAAUGCUCUUGGGAAGAACUAUACGACUUCAAGUCAUACAGUUGAAUGUAUAGAGGUAGGGAUUUGGCGGUGGCAGUUCAAUUGAACUAUGCUACCACAUGCCAAUACACUAUGCGGUUGCGUAGUACAAAAUUUGGGACACGUUUUCAA